rnacentral:rRNA from 1 species
AACGAACGCUGGCGGCAUGCCUAACACAUGCAAGUCGAACGAGACCUUCGGGUCUAGUGGCGCACGGGUGCGUAACGCGUGGGAACCUGCCCUUAGGUUCGGAAUAACUCCCCGAAAGGGGUGCUAAUACCGGAUAAUGUCUUCGGACCAAAGAUUUAUCGCCUUUGGAUGGGCCCGCGUUGGAUUAGCUAGUUGGUAGGGUAAAAGCCUACCAAGGCGACGAUCCAUAGCUGGUCUGAGAGGAUGAUCAGCCACACUGGGACUGAGACACGGCCCAGACUACUACGGGAGGCAGCAGUGGGGAAUAUUGGAAAAUGGGCGAAAGCCUGAUCCAGCAAUGCCGCGUGAGUGAUGAAGGCCUUAGGGUUGUAAAGCUCUUUUACCCGGGAUGAUAAUGACAGUACCGGGAGAAUAAGCUCCGGCUAACUCCGUG